rnacentral:pre_miRNA from 1 species
AAUGGGAUAGCUGAGUCAAAUGGUGGUUCUAUUCCAAGUUUUCUAAGGAAUCUCUAUACUACUUUCCAGAUUGAUGCACCAAUUUGCAGUCCCAUUAGCAAU